rnacentral:rRNA from 1 species
CCUACGGGAGGCAGCAGUGGGGAAUCUUGGACAAUGGGGGCAACCCUGAUCCAGCCAUGCCGCGUGUGUGAAGAAGGCCUUCGGGUUGUAAAGCACUUUCAGUAGGGAGGAAGGCUUAUCCUUAAUACGGAUGAGUACUUGACGUUACCUACAGGAGAAGCACCGGCUAAUUUCGUGCCAGCAGCCGCGGUAAUACGAAAGGUGCGAGCGUUAAUCGGAAUUACUGGGCGUAAAGCGCGCGUAGGCGGUUUGCUAAGUCAGAUGUGAAAGCCCCGGGCUCAACCUGGGAACUGCAUUUGAAACUGGCAGGCUAGAAUGCAGUAGAGGGAGGUGGAAUUUCCGGUGUAGCGGUGAAAUGCGUAGAGAUCGGAAGGAACACCAGUGGCGAAGGCGGCCUCCUGGACUGACAUUGACGCUGAGGUGCGGAAGCGUGGGGAGCAAACAGGAUUAGAUACCCUGGUAGUCCACGCCGUAAACGAUGUCUACUAGUCGUUGGGAAUCUUAGUAUUCUUGGUGACGAAGUUAACGCGAUAAGUAGACCGCCUGGGGAGUACGGCCGCAAGGUUAAAACUCAAAUGAAUUGACG